rnacentral:rRNA from 1 species
CGGACGUGGAUAACCUGCCUCACACAGGGGAUAACAGUUAGAAAUGACUGCUAAUACCGCAUAAGCGCACGGCAUCGCAUGAUGCAGUGUGAAAAACUCCGGUGGUGUGAGAUGGAUCCGCGUCUGAUUAGGUAGUUGGUGGGGUAACGGCCCACCAAGCCGACGAUCAGUAGCCGACCUGAGAGGGUGACCGGCCACAUUGGGACUGAGACACGGCCCAG